rnacentral:rRNA from 1 species
UACGUAGGUGGCGAGCGUUGUCCGGAAUUACUGGGUGUAAAGCGCGUGUAGGCGGGAGGCCAAGUCUGUGGUGAAAUCGCUCGGCUUAACUGGGCGGGGUCCAUGGAAACUGGUCACCUGGAGGUCGGUAGAGGCAAGUGGAAUUCCCGGUGUAGUGGUGAAAUUCGUAGAUAUUCGCAAGAACACCAGUGGCGAAGGCGGCUCACUGGCCCGAUACUGACGCUGAGGCACGAAAGCGUGGGGAGCAAACAGG